UUGCAGAAUUCUUGCAGACUUCCAAAAGUGCUUUUGUCCUGAUUGACAGAUUUAUAUUCCUGUUCCUACAUGGUUUUAUCAUCAUAACAUUUGGAGAGAUGCUUAUGUUCUCCAGAGAGCAUAUCAGUAUUAUCAUCCUGAAACAAAGGGUUUGGACUUUGCUACAAUGACCCUAGGAUAAUAUGAGUUGACAACGGAACUGUUUAAUUGCUUGUCAAUGUCAGAAAACGAAGUGAGUGAAGCUCUAAAUAUGAUUUGAACAGUGAAGUUAAGGAAAUUCAAGGGGACAAGGACUGGAAUGUACUUAAUAAAAGCCAUCCUUGUCCAUUGUCCUAAACUUGCGAAGAUGGUCAUUGAACAGAUCGAGGAAGGCAUACUACAUAAAUAGGCCCUCAAACUUGGCCUCAUUUUUUAAGUAUGGAGUGAGCCUUUCUCUUGGUUGUGCAUAAAGUCUUUAGCUGUUAGGCAGUAUUUAUAGUUUUCAAGUCUUCAGUAAGUACUUUUUUUAAUGAAAUCAUACUGAAGCAUUACUGGUAGAGGAUAGAUCAAAUGUCCAUUGCUCUCUCACAAAGGUAGCAUACUUGUAUCAAGUUGAUCAUAAACAAU